UACUGGGCGUAAAGCGCGCGUAGGCGGUCUGUUAAGUCGGAUGUGAAAGCCCCGGGCUCAACCCGGGAACUGCAUUUGAUACUGGCAGACUUGAGUACGGGAGAGGUAAGUGGAAUUCCCGGUGUAGGGGUGAAAUCCGUAGAUAUUCGGAGGAACACCGGUGGCGAAGGCGGCUUGCUGGACCGAUACUGACGCUGAGACGCGAAAGCGUGGGGAGCAAACAGGAUUAGAUACCCUGGUAGUCCACGCCGUAAACGAUGGAUACUAGGUGUCGCGGGUUUUUACCCCUUCGGUGCCGAAGCUAACGCAUUAACUUCCCCGCCUGGGGAGUACGGCCGCAAGGUUAAAACUCAAAGGAAUUGACGG
rnacentral:rRNA from 1 species